GGUCUGAUAGUGUUCGCUCUGCGGGUUAGCUUAUUUUUCUCUCAUCCGCUAGAGUUACUAGAAGGAAGGAUGUCGCAUCGCAAAUUUGAACACCCAAGGCAUGGUUCUUUGGGAUUUCUCCCAGAAAACGAGCAUCGCGCCACCGUGAAGGCAUUCCCCAAAGAUGAUACCACAAAACCUUGUAGGUUGACUGCUUUUGUUGGGUAUAAAGCUGGGAUGACUCAUAUUGUCAGAGAAGUUGAAAAACCUGGGUCAAAACUGCAUAAGAAGGAGACUUGUGAAGCAGUGACGGUGAUUGAAACACCACCUAUGAUUGUUGUUGGUGUUGUUGGUUAUGUCAAGACGCCCCGUGGUCUCCGCUGUCUGGACACUGUUUGGGCUCAGCAUCUCAGUGAGGAAGUAAAAAGGAGAUUCUACAAAAAUUGGUGCAAGUCCAAAAAGAAGGCUUUCACCAAGUAUGCGAAGAAGUAUGAGACUGAAGAAGGUAAAAAAGAUAUUCAUGCUCAGCUGGAAAAGAUGAAGAAGUACUGUUGUGUUAUUCGGGUGUUGGCUCAUACUCAGAUCCGAAAGAUGAAGGGUCUAAAGCAGAAGAAAGCUCAUGUGAUGGAGAUUCAGGUCAAUGGUGGGGAUGUUGCCAAGAAGGUUGACUAUGCUUAUAGCUUCUUUGAAAAGCAGAUUCCAGUGGAUGCUGUUUUCCGGAAAGAUGAGAUGAUUGAUGUAAUUGGGGUAACCAAAGGUAAGGGCUAUGAGGGUGUAGUGACCCGCUGGGGUGUGACCCGCCUCCCUCGUAAGACUCACCGUGGUCUUCGCAAGGUUGCCUGCAUUGGUGCCUGGCAUCCAGCAAGGGUUUCUUUUACAGUUGCUAGAGCUGGGCAAAAUGGUUACCACCACCGCACAGAGAUGAACAAGAAAAUUUACAGAUUGGGGAAAGCUGGUCAGGAGUCUCAUACUGCUAUCACGGAAUUUGACAGGACUGAGAAGGACAUCACUCCAAUGGGAGGUUUCCCACACUACGGUGUUGUCAAGGACGAUUAUCUGUUGCUAAAGGGUUGCUGCGUGGGGCCAAAGAAGCGUGUUGUGACUCUGAGGCAGUCACUCUUGAACCAGACAUCUCGGGUUGCAUUGGAAGAGAUCAAACUGAAGUUUGUUGACACGUCAUCGAAAUUUGGCCAUGGUCGCUUCCAGACAACGAGGAGAAGGCCAAGUUCUAUGGACGACUCAAAGCCUGAGAAGAGAGGAGAUCUAUUUAUCCCAAAUUUGUUGAGUAGGAGUUUGCGGUCUCCAGUAGGAACUUUUGGUUAUCACUUUUUUAUCAUUUCAUCCCGUAUUUGUUUCUCCUGUUCCGUAUUUGUUUCUCCUGUUCCGUAUUUGUUGGCCGACUUCUGCAUUCGCAUCCUUAAUGACUGAAUGGUUUAUUGCGCCAAUGAGCGGAUACUCGACUCUUCAAA